rnacentral:rRNA from 1 species
UGGGGAAUAUUGCACAAUGGGGGAAACCCUGAUGCAGCGACGCCGCGUGAGCGAAGAAGGCUUUCGAGUCGUAAAGCUCUGUCCUAUGAGAAGAUAAUGACGGUAUCAUAGGAGGAAGCCCUGGCUAAAUACGUGCCAGCAGCCGCGGUAAUACGUAUGGGGCGAGCGUUGUCCGGAAUUAUUGGGCGUAAAGGGUACGUAGGUGGUUUUUUAAGUCAGGUGUCAAAGCGUGGAGCUUAACUCCAUUAAGCACUUGAAACUGAAAGACUUGAGUGAAGGAGAGGAAAGGGGAAUUCCUAGUGUAGCGGUGAAAUGCGUAGAUAUUAGGAGGAAUACCGGUGGCGAAGGCGACUUUCUGGACUUUUACUGACGCUCAGGUACGAAAGCGUGGGGAGCAAACAGG